CUGUGAUGUAAAGUCUGAAGUCUGCAUAGGAAUGGAACAGUUUUAACAAGUAACCGCAAAGGAAAUGAAUUAAUAAAGAACACGAGUGUUUAUGGCAAAUGAACGUGCCCAGGAGCUCAUGGGAAAAGAGAAUGAUGUUGAUGGGUCUUAUAGCUUGCACUAAGAAAGGGAAAUGCAUAUCUACAUCUAGAGAGCAAAUAUGACUGGCUGUGGUGUCUAAGGAAAGACGGUUUUGUGGUUACAACAUUUGUUCAUUUUUAACUCUUCUUCCUGGGAAAGGCAGUUGGAAUCAGGACUUAAACCUGCCUCCGUCUGCUCUUUUGCUCUCUCUCUGCCCUUACCUUGCCCCCUGGCCCUGACCUCAUUUGGGACCAGCGACUCUGCAGCACCAGCCAGCAUCUGCUGCUUUGCCAGCUUUCAGAGGGCUGGGCCCCCUUCCCUUCUGGGCAGCAAUGCCAGUGUUUCCAGGAGAAGUCAGGCCCACAUCCAGGCUGGUGGAUGGAUGCUCUGAAGUCUCCAUGGUGUGACCACUGCCUUGGCUUCAGAAUGCUGCGGCAUGCAUGGGCUCCACAGGAACUUCGUGCUGAUAAGCCAGAGACAGUCUUAGGCAUGUUUUUGAUCUGCCGUGAUAUUACAGGACUUGUGGCUGCUCAAGUAAAGUGUUAUGAGAGCCGUGAAAUCACAGUUCCUACACUUGGUUAGUCUAAGUUCCUGAAUUUCUCCUGUAAAACGAGUGAAAGAGAGCCCGAAGCCUUUGGUUGUCUCCCAGCCGAAGUCCUUCAGCACGACACACUCGUGGGGGCCCUGAGAAGCAGCGACGGUCCACCGACCUCUGGCGAUGGCAGCCAGAUGGAGAUGACACCUCUCCUGGGCUGGCCAAAAGAGCUCGUAGGGGAUGACCAGCUGAGAUGGUUGAGCUGUCCCAGCCUGUUAGUGGCCCAGGACACCUGAUGGGACAGGGACAGGCAUCUGGAGGCUGGAGUUGAAGAGCAAGUGUCAACAGAACGUUUUAGCUUGGACUAACCCAAAUUCAAGGAGCUGUCUGGGGAUGGAGUACAGAAAAUGGGGCUGUGACCCCACUGAACUGUUACGCUAUGCGAAAACUUCACUUCAGAGGUGAGGACUGCACUUUCUCCUUGCUUCUCCUCGGCGUGGUUUUGUGAAGGAACUAGUCUCACAGCACCAGUAGUGUUUGCAUGUCCUUAUUUUCGAAGUAGCAAAGAUGUAUGUUGCUGGUUGUCCUUUGUUCUCUGCAGAUAGAGAAGUUUAUUGCAAAGCUAUUACUACGAUAGCCAUUCUUAGCGAGAGUUGCUGAUCUCUGCUGUUACCACCUGAGAUGCUCCUGAGUGUUAAUAACUUCCCUUGAGAGUGUUCUUGGCUUGCUGAUGCUCAGAAAUGCAUGUGUGUUAUAUCUGUGACCUGCUAGGUACAUACCAAUACCUGCAAGAUGAUUAGACUGCUCAAUUUGAAUAUUAUAUAUAUGUAAAGAUAUCCAAAAAUAUUCCAGGCCUCUUUGCAUAGAACAAGGAAGACAGUGAUUGCUGCUUACAAAUAACAAGUGAUCAGUGUACUGGGUCAACUAUUCAAUAUUUAUUUCAAUGAAUCUCUCUCCUCUUGCAAGGCAAAAAUGGCAAUGUGUGCUGCUGCCAAUCACUUAGAAAGACAAUGUAUUUAACAGCUGAUGAGGUUUAUGGUCCUUC
rnacentral:lncRNA from 1 species